GUUGUCCACGGACGACAAGAGUGCAAGGGUGGUGGCAGUUCAUGCAUGGGCAGGAUCACUCUUGCUUUUGGAACCAUACCUUUGCUUAGCAAGCAAGGAGGGAAAAAGGUGAAAUUCUGAAUCCUGUGCCCCGUGCUGUAUUCUGUGUUUCUUCUGUGUUCCUGAAGAAUUAUGGCAUGCACACUAUCUCAUUAACUUUCAAGGUUUCACAAGGGAGAAAUCUGUUGGCAGCACUGAUAGCAAAAUGGAACCUCCAGCAUUAGAGGCAGUGUAUCGUUGGAUAAUGGGUGCUAAAGGGCAAACUGCAGGAGAGAGU